UUCUGUUCACUCCUGGUCAUGCAGCUGUAGCGGAGGGGCUGCUGGAUUUUGCUUUAUUUCUUUGUGCCUCAUAUUUUUUUUUUGUUUGAUUACAGGUUUACAUAGUUUUUUUUUUUUCCAAAUUUAUUUUAGCGGGGAGGAUGGUGGGUCCCCCAGCCCUCCUUUUUUUGUUGAUUUCAUCCAUUUCUUAAUCAGCCUGGUUUUCGGUUUGCUGUUUUGUUUAAUUUAAGUACCAUUUUUCCAGCCAAAUUGCAACACUGCCUUUUCUGCAUUUUGGGCAGCUUUGUAUGUUGCGGUGUACUGGACUGUGCCAUGCAGACUGUUCCUUAAAUUCAACGUGCGUGUCCCAGCAGCUGUGGGUCUGAAUCGGGAACAUCUUACAAGUUCCAUCUGCAGAUUUCUUCUCCUUCAGGUAAGUGACAUGGAAACUUAAAACAUCCACAAAUUUUUAACAUUUUUUUUUAAUUAAUUAAUUUUUUAACAUAUUUUCCACUGUCCAGCUGCAGCCAAGCUGAAUGGUGUAUUCCAGGUUCCGGGGUUUUCCAUGAUCUCCUGCCAGUUUGUGCUCGUCAGGGCAUCUACAGUCAGGAGCCACCAAUACGACAAAAGGGGCGUGUCCUGGGGCGUCAGAGUCCAAAUGGAUUUGGGGAGUGGGAGGUACAGAGGGCAGGGGAAGGUCCGCAUAAUUCCUUCCUGUUCAGGAGAGAAAGCCGGCCUACCUCAGGGGCCCGACUGCAGCCUGGUGCAGGUAGACCCCGGAAAGCUUCGCUAGAUCUGAUCACAUGAACAUGAAGAAAUAAAAAAGAAGCACUCUGCUCUCCGUUCCACCAAACAACCUGAAGAACCACCAGUCUUUAGUGACAUAAAGAGGUCCAGGCAUCCGGCCUGAUCUGCAGACAUACCACCAGCGUUUAGCCAGAUUUGUGCUAUACUUGUGACUGUGGGAACACCAGGGUAAAGCACUCAUAUUAAGCCAGGCCAGCUGUGGCCAGCCUGGCUUUGGCUGUAGAGUGGGGAAAAGGGGUUGUUUUAUGAAUAUUUGUUAUAUUUAAACACAGCAAGUACGUUCUCGACUGGAGAUGGUGUUUCAGUGAGUUUUCCAGGGUUUUCUCCUUCACAAGCCAACAAAGAUCCCAGUCUAAUAAUGACACUCUUGACCUCUGACCUCCGUCUCAGUCCUGCAGGAUUUAGUCAGGCAGAGCCACCACCCUCAAGUGUGAAGCCGGGUUCCGGUUCCUCACUCCAUCUUUGAAAUCUCAUAUUUUGUGGUCAUGAUUUCCUGCAAGUUAACAGCAGAAUACACAAUGAGUCCUGUACAGAAACAAAGGUCACUCAAAGGUCACUCGUCCUAUGACACUGCUACUGUUUCACUAAAUAAGAAUAUAAAAAUCUACGGCAUAAGGAGACCCACACAUUUGCAUGAACGACACCAAUCACGCCUGGCUCACUUUCUACAACGAAAUGAAUGCAAUGUGCACGUUACAUAUCAAAAGGUAAAAUGUCUGCUUACCUCAUCAGAGUCCAGGAGAAUGGGCAAUGCCCUGCAACAGAAGCAACACUCAUUUAACGCUCAUGUUACAUUUUGCACAUAACAAAAAGGCUUCAUGUUCAUAGCAAAAGAAAAAAGCUUCUUCCGAAAAACAUAAAAUAUUACAGAAUCUCUUCCAAGACCCUUGCCUGACAAGUUUUAAUACAAUUACUGGUUAGUCAAUUAGUAUCAUAAUCAAUUGUAGGGAUUUGUAAAACGGACAUUAUUGUCAAAUCAUUGUGGGCAGCACCUAUUACGAAGGGAUAUUAUUAACAGCAGCUGGAAUGGCACAGA